ACUGCUUAGGUCCCCACAGUGGCCCGGGACGGGAAUGCCCUCUUGGCUGAGUGCAGUGGCUCACACCUGUGAUCCCAACACUUUGGGAGGCUGAGGCGGGUGGAUUGCUUGAGCCCAGAAGUUCAAGACCAGCCUGGACAACAUAUCAACAGGAUGCAGAAUGGUCUGCCUGGGCCUCAGUCACAUUGGAAGAGCAGAGACAGAAGGAGCCAUGAGGAGUCACUCAAGGGUUUUAGGCAGAGCCGUGACACGACCAGAGCUACUAUGAGCAAAGGUUCCGGAACAGGGCAGGGCAGGACAGGUUUGAGAGCAAUGGCGCGAUCUCGGCUCACAGCAACCUCCGCCUCCCGGGUUCAAGCUAUUCUCCUGCCUCAACCUCCUGAAGGCUGGGAUUACAGGAGAUGCAAAUGAUGGGAACAAUGGAGCCCUUGUCCCCAGGCCGUUUGUGGCAGAUCCUGGGCUCCAGGGAGGCAAAGCUCCUCUGCCUCUGCCAUGGACAAGCUCAGUGGGAGCAGGCCCCGGCUGGGGCCACCGCUCCCACCCCCCAGAUGUGUGGGUAAGUGACACAGGGGGUCAGAGGG
rnacentral:sRNA from 1 species